UCCACGUUAUCCGCGGCAGUCUCCCAAGAGUCCUCCCCUUGCGGGGUAGCAACAUGGGACGGGGGUUGCGCUCGUUGCGGGACUUAACCCAACAUCUCACGACACGAGCUGACGACAACCAUGCAGCACCUCGGCUGGCUCCCUUGCGGGUCAUCCCGUGUUUCCACAGGACUAACACCAGUCGUUCGAGCCCAGGUAAGGUUGUUCGCGUUGCGUCGAAUUAAACCACAUGCUCCACCGCUUGUGCGGGCCCCCGUCAAUUCCUUUGAGUUUCAGCCUUGCGGCCGUACUCCCCAGGCGGGGCACUUAAUGCGUUAGCGACGGCACCCAGGGGGUCGCUCCCCCCGACGCCUAGUACCCAUCGUUUACGGCGUGGACUAC
rnacentral:misc_RNA from 1 species